UUAGGUCGACCCGCUGAAUUUAAGCAUAUCAAUAAGGGGAGGAAAAGAAGCCAACUGGUAUUCCCUUAGUAACGGCGAGUGAACCGGGAUAAGCCCACCGGUGAAGAAUCGCAAGAUUCGGUGUCCGGUUUGGAUUGGUGCUUAGAUGAAAGUUUAAUUACUUGAAUUCUGUUGGAAAACAGAUUCAUAGAGGGUGACAAACCCGUAAGAGUAGUUUACUUUAAUCAUAUGGCCCAAUCUAAAGAGUAGAGCUAUUUGAAAGUGUAGCUCGAAGUGGAGAUAUGUCUCUCCAAAGGCUAAAUAUAUUGCAAGUCCGAUAGCGAACAAGUACCGUGAGGGAAAGUUGAAAAGCACUCUGAAGAGAGAGUGAAAAGUACGUGAAACUGUUAAAGGGGAAUUGAAGAGAACGCUACUAUAUUCAUUGCCGGCAAUUGCUGCUGGCUUGCGAAUGGUGAUGUUGCUUUUGAUUGCUAUGGAUAAGGCUGUAGAAGCUAUUUGCUUCGGCAUUUGGUUAUUACAAGCCUCGAUUCUGGAUUAAUAUACUCCCCGUAUUGUGCAAGAAAAAUCAACACCAUAAUCAGUGUUCUCUACAACCCGUCUUGAAACACGGACCAAGGAGUUUGAGUUACUCGCAAGUGAUUGUGCUCAUUGAAAGCAUACACGCGAAAUGAAAGUAAUUAUUACUUGCUUCGGCAUUGUAAUUAUUAUGUGGUGAUAGCACUAGAACAGUGUCUGGCAACCACGGGCGGUCUUGCCACUUCGGUGCGUGAUCGACCCAUAGCGAGUAGCACAAGACCCGAAAGAUGGUGAUCUAUGCUUGGGCAGGGCGAANCCACGGGAAACCAUGGUGGAGGCCCGAAGCGGUUCUGACGUGCAAAUCGAUCGUCUGACCUGAGUAUAGGCGCGAAAGACUAAUCGAACCAUCUAGUAGCUGGUUUCCUCCGAAGUUUCCCUCAGGAUAGCGAAGGCUUGAUGGAAUCUGCGCGAGCAGUUUCAUCGGGUAAAGCGAAUGAUUAGAGGUAUGGGGGAAUUUAUUUCCUCCACCUAUUCUCAAACUUUAAAUCGGUGAAAUGAUCCUUGUGACUUAAUUGCACUUGAAUCAUGAAUGCAAGCCUUCAGUGGGCCGUUUUUGGUAAGCAGAACCGGCGAUGUGGGAUGAACCAAAUGUUGAGUUAAGGCGCAAAACUACUUGCUCAUGAGUAACCACAAAAGGUGUUGAUUGAUAUUGACAGCAGGACGGUGGCCAUGGAAGUUGGAAUCCGCUAAGGAGUGUGUAACAACUCACCUGCCGAAUCAAUCAGCCCUGAAAAUGGAUUGCACUAGAGCUCGUGGCCUAUACUCAACCAUGAAUGCCAAUGUUCAUUAAUGCUUGGUGAACAAUCAGGUGAUAUGGAAAAUUGAUGCGUGAUCAAUAGAUUGCGUGGAUUAUGCAUUCAUGAGUAGGAGGACGCAGCAAUUGCAUUAAAGGAUAUGCGUGAGCAUAUUCCUCAAGCGGUUGCUGGUGCAGAUCUUGGUGGAAGUAGCAAGUACUCAAAUGAGAACUUUGAGGACUGAAGUGGAGAAGGGUUCCAA
rnacentral:rRNA from 1 species